ACGGGAGAUUUGGAGGAAAAUCACAGAUGCCAUCAAUGCCUCUUCCUCCACAGAUGAAGGGGAAAGCAGAGCUGGCAGACGCACGACGUAGUGUGAAACAAACGGGUAAACGAAUAUAUAUUAAAUCUAUAUAGUAUAUAUAUAGUAUGCAUUUCAAAUUUGCUUGAAAAACAUACACGAACAAGACAGGCACUAAAUCCAGUCUCCAUAAUGUGCUGAUGAUGAACUAUAUUUCUUUACUAUCGCAUUUAUAAAUAAAUAGAGACCUCUAGGCACUCGAGGGUAGCCUAAUUGCAUGUUAUCUUACCGUACCAUCUAGUAUGUAUCCAAACAGGCCCAAUAUCAUAUGUUGUUUCUGUAUUCAGCAAUCAAAUCCUCAACAAAUUCGAAUAUCGCAGUCUGCACAAAGUUAUACACAGUAAACAAAAUGUCGAAAUAUGCAUCGUCAUUGACUGAAAUGACGUAAUAUUAUUCAAAGGUUAUGUCCCUUUUUUGCCCCCCCCCCCCUCUUCCGGUCAUGAAUAGAUCCUUAUAAAUCAUGAAAAAGUAAGUGUGGAAAGUUAGCUUACAUAGGUGACGUAUAAGCCAUUGCUAUUUUGAGAAAUUUUUAAUUUAACUUAAUGACAGAAAAAUAUGAAUAAUGUAAAACCUUUGAUCGAUAUGACCCUUCUAAAUAAAUAUAAUGUGCAUGCACUUAAAAUGGAAUUUUUCAAACAAUUUUUCAUCAUCUAAUUAUUACCAGGGCGGAUCGAGGAAUUUUGAAGGGGGGGGAUACAAUUAAUUCUGGUUUUCAAAAUUGGGGGUACAUCUUAAAGAUGCGUAAUUUAUACUUUUCUUUAGCAAAAUCAUGUGACGAAAGGGGGGGGGGGGUCUAACUCCCGGAUCCCCUCUGGAUCCGCCACUGAUUACAAACUUCAGACAGUCUUUGAUUCCUUGAUGCAUUUGAGUAUGAAUUAUUUUCUUUUAUUUCUAAAGAAUAAAUACUUGUAUCAAUUUCGAAAUUACACAUAAUUGCCUAGUUUAACAUUUUUUUUUUAUACUAGCAAGUAUUCUUCUAUCCCAACAUUCGAACGCAUGAAUUAUCCCCCCCCCUCCCCAUUAGGCAACCAGUCCAAGCUGCUACCAUCUCUAUGUGCAAUAUCGAUUGAUAGAUAUAUUAUAGGAUUGAACAUUCUUUUUAAAGAAUUUAUCGAUGUGUAAACUCUGGACAUUUUACUCACAAACGGAGUAAAAGUGCAAGGCACUUUUAUGUUAAGUUUGUGUGUAAAAUGUUCAGAAUUUACUCAUAAUAAAUUCUUCAAAAAAAAAAAAAAAAGGUUUGAUUCCCUGUAUUAUCAAUUUAAAAAAUUUGAAUAGUUUUCCCGCACUGUUAUUUGUUUUCAGGCGAGUACAUGUACGUAUGCAUAGCGUUUUUGGAUUUAUUGAUGUGUAAAUUCACGAUUAGAUUUGUUUUUGUCCAAUCAAAACAAUUGUAAUAAAUAACAUUAGAAUUAUAAUACAUUAUUUAUCAUUACUUGUUUUUGGCACCAGCGUAUUUUGUUUAAUUUUGUAGGCGGUGGACCAGCGGGAAAGCCUUUAACGCCAUUAGCAGAAGCAGUUGGGAGUGUUAUUGGUACCAACAAUAUAAGUAUCAGUGGGAUCCCUGGUACAGUUGACACAACAUAUCUAAUGCUCGACAGACCAAAGAUCAGCACGGAAACCACAGCGAGUACGAUUGAAUCAGAUGGCCUUGUGACUCAAGAUCUCCAUGUCAUCAGCACCAGUGAAUCUGGAGAUGGGCAGCAACAAAUAAACUUUGUUACUGUCCCACAGCCAAACGCAUGUCCUACCAAUGUUUGCACCCACA